rnacentral:lncRNA from 1 species
GGCUGUCUUUCUCUUCCUUUCAUGUAAUGUCUGAUUUUUAUGUGGAAGAGAAUGUACGUAGUGCUGUAUAGCCCUGCGGAUGCUGUGACCUCAGAAGGGACAGCAGAUAUUUGCCAAUCAGACUGACAUGUCCAGACCCUGCACUAGUAGAAGGGGAAUCUAACCGUUUUGCAUUUGAAAGGAAAUGCAGCACCUAGCCUGAGGAAGAACUUGAUCCUGAAGAGAGGGACAACUUCCUCCAACAGCUUUAUAAGUUUAUGGAAGACAGAGGUACUCCAAUCAACAAAGCACCUGUGUUGGGCUAUAAAGAUCUCAAUCUCUUCAAACUCUUCAGACUGGUCUAUCAUCAGGGGGGAUGUGACAGUAUUGACAGCGGUGCUGUAUGGAAGCAAAUUUAUAUGGACCUUGGCAUUCCAAUUUUGAAUUCAGCUGCUUCCUACAAUGUAAAAACUGCUUAUAGAAAAUAUCUCUAUGGUUUUGAGGAGUACUGCCGUUCCGCAAAUAUUCAGUUUAGAACUAUUCACCACCAUGAACCAAAAGUAAAA